rnacentral:rRNA from 1 species
AACGAACGCUGGCGGCAGGCCUAACACAUGCAAGUCGAACGCCCCGCAAGGGGAGUGGCAGACGGGUGAGUAACACGUGGGAACCUUCCCUAUAGUACGGAAUAGCCCAGGGAAACUUGGAGUAAUACCGUAUACGCCCGAAAGGGGAAAGAAUUUCGCUAUAGGAUGGGCCCGCGUAGGAUUAGCUAGUUGGUGAGGUAAUGGCUCACCAAGGCGACGAUCCUUAGCUGGUUUGAGAGAACGACCAGCCACACUGGGACUGAGACACGGCCCAGACUCCUACGGGAGGCAGCAGUGGGGAAUAUGGGACAAUGGGCGCAAGCCUGAUCCAGCCAUGCCGCGUGAGUGAUGAAGGCCUUAGGGUUGUAAAGCUCUUUUGCCGGGGACGAUAAUGACGGUACCCGGAGAAUAAGUCCCGGCUAACUUCGUGCCAGCAGCCGCAGUAAUAC